rnacentral:misc_RNA from 1 species
AUCGGCCUUCGACGAGGGCUCAGGUGUGGCCAUUCGUUGCGUGUGAAUAUAACGAAAAUAAAUCUGAUUGUGAUCGAGGCUGUGAAUGGUUCGUUCGAAAAUCCCGCUUCAUUAUUCAUGAUGUUAAUUCGGUUUCUCGCGGUGGUGUUCAAUUAUCAUACCAAUGAGUCGUGCAUUCGAACUGUGUAAAUUUAGAACCAUACGUAAUAAUUCAAACAUGGUCGAAAAUAACCGGCGUUGUUCGACUGCUUGACUGACUAUUCAUUGUAUUAUUAUUGAAGAGCUGCAACGGGUGGUUGCAGAACUAGAUUAGUGACUGCUAUAACUAUUUCUGUGGUUAUUACUAGCACGUGUUACUGUAAUCAACUAGUUGACAACGAGCGGUAGUCCCGUUGCGUAAUCUCUAUUAAACGUCCAAUUUUCUCGCUUCUUCACGCGUCACACGGUUGCGUAGAGGACUGAACAAUUCGGUUGAUUCCCUAUCGUAACACUGGCCUAGAGAAAUACAUUCCAGGCCUUCGGAUAAUCGUGAGAAUGCCGGAUUCAAUAGUCUCGGUUGCGGUGGCCAUCGGUAACGACCAAACUCUGGUGAAGAUGGACCGCAGUCUCCCACUGGAUGAGAUUAUAGCCGAUCUCUGCGUGAAUCACGGUCUGAUAGGAGAGUGCCACAAGUAUGCGUUGCAAAUAGCACGACCGUCGCCGAAGGCCGAAGACCAGACGAUAUCGAACCGUUACGUAACACCAGAAUUAAUAUCCCAAGUUCUAGACGGUACAGAAUUGCGAUUGGUAUUCUCGGCCGCAACGACCGUCCGCCUUCUCUUUGAAGUGAUCACAGACGAGCGGGGAUCCAAGCGUAAAAGCGCCCUGCAAAAGCUCGCCAAUGCCUGCGAAGACCCGGAAUUCGCGAGGUGUUUCGUCGAGGUCGAAGGGCCGUCGAUGAUCGUUGAGAAGCUGAAAGUUGCCGCGGCCGGUGAAAUCACCGCCGCAUUGGCGUGUCUCAGACUGUCGAUGCAGCACGGAUACCUGGACCAGCUUUGUCACGUCGGUAUCGACAGAGUCGUUGCCGAAAUCGCCGGUCCCGGGGAGAGCGAAGCCCUGAGAGAAGCUUUGCUGAUCGCCUGCCUGGUCAUCGCCAGAAGCGAGCCUGAGCACGGGGAGAGGCUGCGAGCUGCGUUGACGACUACGGAGAUUUUGACCUUGGUCAAGGGCAGGUCGCCCGGUGUUCAACUGGCCGUUCUGGGCCUGGUCAAUGCGAUUCUGCUCUCAUCGGAGUCCCCGCGACGCGAAGAAGACUUGAAAGCUUUGGCGGAUUCGCAGUGGAGGCAGCUCAUCUUCCGUCAUGUUCUUGGUUCCGGGCAGCGGAAUGCGGGCGACGAGUUGGCUCACCAGCUCCACGUCCUUCAAACGAUGCUCCUGAAUUCCAUUCUUGGACAGAGCCAGGAAACGCUAGUCGAAAACGACGACGAGAACGGGAAAAUACCCUCUUUCUGGCGGAGAGUCAGCACCGAGACCAUCCUUGAGUCCGUCGAAUCAAUGCCGAGCACCCCGGAACUCAGCAGGCAGGGUUCCACCAUCACUUUGGACGAGGUGACCCAGACCUACAUGCCCUCCAUGCCGUUGCCUUCGCCGAAACCACCCCCAACCCUCAAGAGAUAUUUCUCUUACAUGUCCGACUCGAGCAACGACACGAUCAGCCAUCUGACCCCAAACUGUCUCGAAUACUUUUCUCAGAAGUAUCACGACAGUUUCGUCCUCGCCAAGGAGGAGGCUGAGCUUCUCUCUGACCUGAAUCAUGUCGCUCAGAACGUCGUAGAUGUUCUGUGCACCGUCCUUCGGGUGGGAACGAGUCACGAACGAACUUCGACCAGGUACUGUCCUCUCUUCUUCAGCGCUAGGGACGCCUUCUUCGAGGAACUAUUCUGCCACGCUAUAUGGACUUUGGGAAAGACCGUGAGGGAUUUGAGGACCCGAGAGCCCGAGGAUCACUUGAUUGCACUUCGAGUUCUCCAUCGCCAGCUGAAGGACGCCCUGGACGCCAGGCCGACGACUUUGUCCGCAUUGGCCGAAAACCUCAAGGAAACAUCCGCUGCUCAUGUUCAAGAAUUGUGGGCCGCUGAGCGGCAGGCCAAGUUUGAAAACCUUCUUCAAAAGCAUCCAGCGAUUGAUGAUCUGAGGAAUGAUAUCAGGCCGAAAGCUGCGAGGCUCGUCACCCUUCAGAGAUUGAACGCGCUGAAGGCGGGUCACAAGUUCUCAAAACACUUUGAUACCCUCAAGGCACAGAAGGCCAAGAAUUGGUGGUUCGUUCAUCUGUCGGAUGACGAACGGGUUCUCAUUUACGGAGACUGGGACUCGGAAAGUCAACCGUACUCAAACUUGCACAAGAGGAUCAGCGUGGCUUCUGCUACGGGGUUGGCGACUGGCAAGAGAUGCCCGCAUGCCAAGGGUCGGAAAUAUCCUACCGAUAAGACAUUUUUUUCGCUACUGCACGAGGGCGGUUCCCUCGACUUUAUCGCUCCUAACAAAGAAAUCUAUAACUUGUGGACCGACGGGCUCACCGCGCUGCUGGGACGGCCCGUGCUGAGCGCCGCGUUUCACGAAGACGUCGACAUGAUCGUUGACAUGGAGGUGAGAUUGAGACUUCUGGAUCUCGGCGACGCCCCGACGCCUGUACCCAUGGAUCCACCGCCUCUGCCAUCUCCUCCGGCGAACUACGAGUUCUGCGACGAAUCCCUGGUGUGAAACCGAUCGCGACUGAGGAUCGAGAGCUGUGGAAACCGUAAAAGGAAGAACCCCGUGCAUGUAUACAUAGCCAUAUCCAGGGCCGUGGAUCGCUUCCAAUAAAGCACAUCUCGAGACGUGGUACUCCGAAUUGGGUUCAAAUUUGCAACGGGUUAGAGAGGGCGGAAGAGCGACGUUAGUGAAAGAGUG